rnacentral:rRNA from 1 species
UACGGGGGGGGCAAGCGUUGUUCGGAAUUACUGGGCGUAAAGGGCUCGUAGGCGGCCAACUAAGUCAGACGUGAAAUCCCUCGGCUUAACCGGGGAACUGCGUCUGAUACUGGAUGGCUUGAGGUUGGGAGAGGGAUGCGGAAUUCCAGGUGUAGCGGUGAAAUGCGUAGAUAUCGGGAGGAACGCCUGUGGCGAAGGCGGCCCCCUGGUUGGAUACUGACGCUGAUACGCGAAAGCGUGGGGAGCAAACAGG